rfam:Lysinibacillus sp. BF-4 contig00013, whole genome shotgun sequence.
UUAAAGCUACAUUGUUCGUAACAUAUUAAGUUUUAACCUUUAAGCUGUAACAGGGAGUUUUAUAUAGAAGUUGGAAUGACGGGCCUCACCCCCUAGUGGUGAAUGAGGAUAGGCAGGAAAACUUUUGCGAACACCCACUUUGAGGAGUGGUGGUUUAAAACUUUCUAUACUACUUACGGCAAUCGUGGCUUUUUU